rnacentral:piRNA from 1 species
GAGCCUAAAGAGCCUCAAGGUGGAGUG